AGAAUUGCUUGUAUCCUCCUUCUGGAGCCAGUGUGUACGACUCCACAGAGCAUUUGGAUUACACUCCUCCGAAUGCUGAAGGAAAAACGCUCAAAAUCUCAUUCUUCAGGGGGAAGCGUUGCCACUCCGAGGUGCCCACUGGGAACGAAUCCCAAAGCCACGAGCGCCUGCCUAGUGGGGAAUGUGAACUGUUAUCCUGAGAGUCGUCCUUCUCUCUCCCUGGUCCAGGACAGAAAAUACUGAAUAGACAGGAAUUUCUGAAGUCUAAACGCCUCCAAUGAUAACAGGAGUGUUAUUGGAAAGGGAACAAGCGAGAAGACACAGUCUUCGAGGAGUUAAGUUUUGCUAAUCUAAUGAUGAGACUGCAUUCAUGAAGACUGAGUGAAGACUUUAUUGCACCAUCACAUCACUAAGGUUUUUCUCCAACAUGAACAUUCUGAUGAAGUCGAAGGCUUGAGGCCUGACUAAAGCACAUAUCACACUCCCUACACUUCCAUGUUUUCUCUCCCAUGUGGACCCUCUGAUGCAUAUCAAGAUUCAAGCGCCUGUUGUAGCCCUUCCCACAGUCCUCACAUUUGUAUGGCUUUUCUACACUGUGAACUUUUUCUUGCACUUUAGAGAAUGAAUUCUGUACAAUGUUCUUCCCAUGCUGCUCACAUUUGAGAGGUGUUUCUCUGCUGUGGCGUCUCUGAUGGGUCAGACGAGUUGAGGACCAGCUGAAGCCCUUCCCACACUCAUCACAUUUGUAUGGCUUUUCUCCAGUGUGCACUCUUUGAUGAGAAUGAAGCUGUGAAUUCUGAGUAAAUCUUUUCCCACACUCUUCACAUUUGAAUGGUUUUUCUCCACUGUGCAGUCUCUGAUGUUUCAAAAGACACGAGGCCCAGCCAAAACUCUUCCCACAUUCCUUACAAUUGUAUGGUCUCUCUCCUGUGUGGACCUUCUGGUGCAUAUC
rnacentral:lncRNA from 1 species